ensembl:lncRNA
UGAAUUUUUAUUGAAUUUUAAUAUAAUUUUACUAAAACAUUCAAAACACCAGCCUUCAAAAUCGUUAAAAGAAUGAAAUCUAAAUUGCGAUUUAUGAAAAAGCAAUGUUAGGCUACUAACACCAUAAAUUAACAUUUACAAAACAUAGUACACAAGACUUUAUUUUCUGCAGUCAGAUGAAAUAACGGCACGAAACAUAAUUACAUCAUCGCGUUACAGUGCGUAAGGAGCCUCCCAUAUGAUUACUCAGAUUACUUUUACUUUGUCCAGCGAAACAGGAAAAACAGAGCGCGCUACUGAAUCUAUACAUUUUUACGCAAUAAUUAUAAAAAUGAAGUUCGUCUCAAAGUUGCUCAUUUGUCUCUCAUUGCUCAUGUAUUUACUCGUGUAUGUUGUGUGUGAUUUGGAAAAAAAAAACAGUGUUUGUGAUGAAGGGAGAUUCAUUCACUCUACAAUAUGAUAUUUGGCCACCAUUCGAUGAAGAUUGGGUCAUUUGGAGAACGAAAAAUCUCGUAGCUGAACGCAUGGGAUAUCGCAAUGGAUAUUUCAGGGAUAUCUGUAAAGAUGUUCCGUGUAAAGACCGUAAUAAGAAACUCAAAGACAGACUGAAAUUGAAUCAAGAUGGAUCUCUGACCAUCACAAACGCCACAGUCGCAGACUCUGGAGACUACUUGUUACUGAUCCAGCGUUUAAGAGGCGGCGAAGGUUUUGGAUUCUACUCUGUUGUUGUUCGUGGUGAGUCAUGUUUAAAACCAAGUGCACAUUUAAAUCACAAUAUUAAUGCAUUUAGAGAAAGUCUCCUUAUCGUGUUCUGGCUAAUUACUGGCCCCAUUCAAUUUAGAAAGAAUUUUGCUAUUUUUACUCCUAAGCAUUUUAGACAUUUCACUCAAUUUACCUCAUGAUUUUGUCAAAGAGUCUUGUUUGGUUUGCAGUUAAGAAUUUGAAUCUUUUAAAUGUUGAAAAUUUCAUUUCCUACGAUAUUAUUAUGAGCAGGGGCGUCGGACUGGGGUGGUAAAGGGUACCGAGGGUACCCAGGGCCCGAGGCAGGGGGGGGGGGGGGGCUUAGAAGUCAGUUUUCUAUACAUACAUAUACAUGCACUAACAUUUGUAUAGCGUUUAUAUACAAAUAAAAAAGUUCCUGUGCAAAACUAAACUUGUAGU